rnacentral:lncRNA from 1 species
AUGGAAAGAUUUUCAGAGUUGAACUGCAGACGCUCUACCAGAACCUCUUCCAGUUGGAAGCCUUCCAUCUGUCUUCUCGGACGAGACAAGUGCUCCGUGCCUGACACAGCACAGGGGCUGAGGAAGUGUCUGCCCCUCUCUCAGGCCGGGACCCCGAGGUCAGUUCUGGCUGUGCUGGGAGAGCUUCAGCCCACUGAAAACAUGCAUGACGGAGUCAAAACUCAGCUAUCCUUGGAAGCAACUGAGUCCCAUUCUCUGUCCCUGGAACAUCCUUUCUUCCUCUCCUCCCCCUCCCACCACCAUACGCACCUGGGCACAGCAAGAACCCCCAACUUCCAGCUAGGAAAAAACUAACAUUUACUGAAAGCCUAUAUGCACCAGGGCCAGUUAUAAAGGUUUUAUGCAUGUUAUCUCAGGAUUUAUUGUAUGAUAAAAUUAAAUUCUCUCAUGCACACUCACACGAGAACGUGCUUUUCUUAGAGAGAAGCAGCGUGGCAUAGAACAGAGGUCAACAUUUAGGCCCUGGAUUCAGAUCUUAGCUCUCCUGUGUACUAUCUGUGUGUCUGUGAACAAGCUAACUUACUUUUUUUGGCCUCAAUUUUCUCAUUUGUAAAGUGAAGAUGAUAAUAGUGUUGUGGACUGUGGCAAAUUGUGUUUUCCAAGGGUGGCUGGAACGACCUCUCCCGCCUCACAUGUUCUUCUUAUGCUCCCACUCUGAGAGCUGGAACCCAUGCCUCUUCCCCUUGACCCUGGGAGGAACUGUGUGACCGCCUGAGCCAAUGAAGGGUGGCCGCGGUGGCGCUCUGUGACUCCCAAGGCUGGCUCAGCCUUCUGCUGGCUUUCUUCAGGAUGCUCGCUCUUAGAACCCAGCCGCCCUGAGGAAGCUAGACACGGGGUGAUCCAGCACACAGCCUUAGAUGAGGUUGCGGCCUACAGCCCCUAUUCAGUGCCAUGCUGGUGAGGAAGGAAGCCGUUGAGAUGAUGGUAGCCCGAGACUGUGUGCAUCCAGCUAUCUGAGAGAUCCCAAGUGAGAGCUGCCGGCUGAGCCAAGUCACUCUCCAAACCACGAGACAUGAUAAUAAUAGUAUAAUAAAUAUAAUUUAUAUAAUUUUAUAUAAUUAUAA